rnacentral:rRNA from 1 species
UACAGAGGUCUCAAGCGUUGUUCGGAUUCAUUGGGCGUAAAGGGUGCGUAGGCGGCGGGGCAAGUCGGAUGUGAAAUCUCAGGGCUCAACCCUGAACUGCAUUCGAUACUGCUCUGCUCGAGGACUGGAGAGGAGAUUGGAAUCACGGUGUAGCAGUGAAAUGCGUAGAUAUCGUGAGGAAGACCAGUGGCGAAGGCGGAUCUCUGGACAGUUCCUGACGCUGAGGCAACGAAGGCCAGGGGAGCAAACGGG